rnacentral:rRNA from 1 species
AGCAACCGCGGUAAUUCCAGCUCCAAUAGCGUAUAUUAAAGUUGUUGCAGUUAAAAAGCUCGUAGUUGAAUUUCGGGAUCAUCAGGUUGGUCGUGCCUCCGGUAUGUACUUGCUUCGGUGGACCCUCCUUCUUGAAGAACCGUAAUGCCAUUAAUUUGGUGUUGCGGGGAAACAGGACUGUUACUUUGAAAAAAUUAGAGUGUUUAAAGCAGGCAAUCGCUUGAAUACAUUAGCAUGGAAUAAUGAAAUAGGACGUUCGAUCCUAUUUUGUUGGUUUCUAGGAUUGACGUAAUGAUUAAUAGGGAUAGUUGGGGGCAUUAGUAUUCAAUUGUCAGAGGUGAAAUUCUUGGAUUUAUUGAAGACUAACUACUGCGAAAGCAUUUGCCAAGGAUGUUUUCAUUAAUCAAGAACGAAAGUUAGGGGAUCGAAGACGAUCAGAUACCGUCGUAGUCUUAACCAUAAACUAUGCCGACUAGGGAUCGGAUGAUGUUAAUUUUUAAUGACUCAUUCGGCGCCUUAC